GCACCAUCAUAAAUCGUGAGAGCAAAGUUAGAACAAUGAAAAUGAGUUCCAAAUACAUGCUAGUGUUGUUGGUCACAUUGCUUUUAGCUGUAACCUCCCUUGCGAAUCUCUCAAAAAGCAGCCAUUAUAAGCCUAUUCCUCCAUCCCACGGCGGCCACCACCAACAACAACACAGUAACCCACACCUUGAUGGCACCCGUAAACCGCCAUUUAAACGCAGACCACCACAUGAGGAGUUACCCCUGAAGGAGCAACACAAAACCAAUAAGCCUGGAAAAGGUAGUGGUGGUGGAACCAAACAACCAUAGACAUGAUCCAAAGAAGCCACCAAUAAUCCCAACUACCAACUAAGUGAGUGUUUGUUCAAUAAUAGUCAAGGUUUUUUAAUUGCGUUAAAUAAGGUUUCAACUUGCAAGAGCUUCCACAACCGACCCGCAAUAUGCUGCAACCAUAAUCGUAAUUUUAAACCUUGGCUAGCUAAUAUAAUGUAUGAAUCGUCGUGCCAUAUGAGCAUGUAUGAUUAAAAGAAAAGUUGGGAGUUUGAAUCUAUGUAAAACAUGUGUGUGUGCUUUAAACUUUCGGUUCUGUAUCUUAUAGUUUCAUGUGUUCAUCACGAUGUUGUUACUGUUUUGUGUAUGGAUGUACCGAAUGGAUAUGUGUUAAAGCUUGCACUUGUCCAACAAAUCUGGUGUCUAUGCUCUUUUAUUAAUUUUAACGGUUGGAUUACAGACUA